UGGGAACGUGCCCAAACGGUACGGAACAACUCCGGGGAAACUCGGAGCUAAUACCGUAUGUGCCGAAAGGGAAAGAUUCAUCGCCUUUGGA
rnacentral:rRNA from 1 species